rnacentral:rRNA from 1 species
UAAUCGAUAAACCACGUAAAAUCUUACUUAUCUUAAAUAGUUUGUAUACCAUCAUUAUUAGAUAACUUUUAUAAAAUAAGUUAUUAAAAUUAAUAAAAUUAAAUAUAUUAGAUCAAGGUGCAAUAAAUAGAUAAGAAAAAAUGGGUUACAAUAAAAUUUAUUUAAAACGAAUUAUAAUAUUAAAAAUUAUAUAAAGGAGGAUUUAAUUGUAAUUUUUUUUUAAAAAGAAAAUUUGAUAUUAGCUCUAAAAUAUGUACAUAUCGCCCGUCGCUCGCGGGAAAA